rnacentral:rRNA from 1 species
CACGUAGGGCGCAAGCGUUGUCCGGAAUUAUUGGGCGUAAAGAGCGUGUAGGCGGCCAGGUAGGUCUGCUGUGAAACUCGAGGCUCAACCUCGAGACGUCGGCGGAAACCAUCUGGCUAGGAGUCCGGAAGAGGGGAGUGGAAUUCCUGGUGUGAGCGGUGAAAUGCGCAGAUAUCAGGAAGAACACCCGUGGCGAAGGCGGCUCUCUGGGACGGUACUGACGCUGAGACGCGAAAGCGUGGGGAGCGAACAGG